rnacentral:rRNA from 1 species
GAUGAACGCUAGCGGCAGGCCUAAUACAUGCAAGUCGAACGGAAUAUAGUUUUCGGAUUAUAUUUAGUGGCGCACGGGUGAGUAACACGUACAUAACUUACCCUCAAGAGGGGGAUAGCCUUGGGAAACUGAGCGUAAUACCCCAUAGUAUUAUUGAACGGCAUCGUUUGAUAAUUAAAGCUACGGCGCUUGAGGAUAGAUGUGCGUCUGAUUAGCUAGUUGGUAAGGUAACGGCUUACCAAGGCGACGAUCAGUAGGGGGCGUGAGAGCGUGGCCCCCCACACGGGUACUGAGACACGGACCCGACUCCUACGGGAGGCAGCAGUAAGGAAUAUUGGUCAAUGCCCGGAAGGGUGAACCAGCCAUGCCGCGUGAAGGAUGACUGCCCUCUGGGUUGUAAACUUCUUUUGGAUGGGACGAAAAAACGGGAUUUAUCCUGGACUGACGGUACCAUCAGAAUAAGCACCGGCUAACUCCGUGCCAGCAGCCGCGGGAAAGUAGUCGUGU